GCUGCCGUAGCUCUCAUCUGUGUUGGUUAAUAUAGGAAGGUGUGGGCUUUCGGGCGGGGACAAAUCGUCUCCCAGAAUUUACUGGAUUUCUCUCGGAAAAUAUACGCCUGUUGUUCUCCAUAGGAAUAUAUACGUAGAUUCUUCAAGAUGAGGGAUCGGUUGGGAUCGUUUAAAAGGGGGGAUGAUGAAGAUGUGGGACCAGACGAUGUGUCCGUUAAUGUGGAGGGUGAAAAGUACAUGGAUGAGUUUUUUGAUCAGGUGGAGGAAAUUCGCAAUAACAUAGACAAGAUAGCUAAUAAUGUGGAAGAGGUGAAGAUGAAACACUCUGACAUUCUGUCAGCCCCCCAGCCGGA